UACGGAGGGUGCAAGCGUUACCCGGAAUCACUGGGCGUAAAGGGCGUGUAGGCGGGAACUUAAGUCUGGUUUUAAAGACUGGGGCUCAACCCCGGGGAUGGACUGGAUACUGGGGUUUCUAGACCUCUGGAGAGAUACUCGGAAUUUCUGGUGUAGCGGUGGAAUGCGUAGAUACCAGAAGGAACACCGAUGGCGAAGGCAGAGUAUUGGACAGAAGGUGAC
rnacentral:rRNA from 1 species